rnacentral:rRNA from 1 species
AUGCCAACCUGUGGAGUUGCACCAGGGUCUUGCGUGAACCCCCAUUCCCUAACAUGUUGGUUUGAAUCCAAUUCGGACAACUUGUCUUUUGCUUUCACCAACGUUUACAGACCUUGCGAUCCAAACACUAAAUCUAUCUUCUUGCAAUCCCUUAUUGAUGUUUCUGGAUCUAUCUCUUGCCCUUGGGCAAUCAUUGGGGAUUUUAACCUAAUCCUUAAGCCAACUGACAAGUCUUCAAAUUCUUUUAACAUGCAUGAAGCUUUAAUGUUCUACUCGGCCAUCCAUACCUUGCAGCUACAAGACCUACCACUCCUAGACAGACAUUUCACGUGGUCUAACCAGCAGGACCCUCCCAUUCUUGUGCGACUAGAGCGGGCUCUUGUCAACAUCAAUUGGGCCACUAAAUUCCCGGACAGCUCCCUCACCUCCAACACCAGAUCUACCUCUGACCACGUCUCGAUUCAGCUAUCUGCCACCACUACAAUCCUGAAAAACUCCAUCUUUAGACUUAAUAACUCGCUUCUGGCAAACCAUCAAUUUAGGGCCUUGGUUACAUCCAAUUGGAACAACGUAGGCCACCAACACUUUGGGGUAGGCUCUGCAGACAAGCUUUCCCUCAAGAUCAAAUGCACUAGGGCCAUGGCUAAGAAAUGGACCAUCAAUGCUCGAUCUCCAAGUAUUCUGGCCCAGAACUGCAACACCACAAUCAACCUUUUGGAUAAAAUAGAAGAAUCUCGUACCCUGCCCCCUCUUGAACAUAGCCUUCGGAUUGCGGUUAAGCUCGCUCUUCACCGACAUAAUGCAGCCAUUGCGGUGUAUUGGCGACAAAGGGCUAAGCUUAAGGAUUGCGUGCUAGGGGAUGAAAACUCCGGGUACAUGCAUGUUUGCGCUUCGGUCAGGCACUGA